GACGAACGCUGGCGGCGUGCUUAACACAUGCAAGUCGAGCGGUAAGGCCUUUCGGGGUACACGAGCGGCGAACGGGUGAGUAACACGUGGGUGAUCUGCCCUGCACUUCGGGAUAAGCCUGGGAAACUGGGUCUAAUACCGGAUAUGACCUCCUAUCGCAUGGUGGGUGGUGGAAAGAUUUAUCGGUGCAGGAUGGGCCCGCGGCCUAUCAGCUUGUUGGUGGGGUAAUGGCCUACCAAGGCGACGACGGGUAGCCGACCUGAGAGGGUGACCAGCCACACUGGGACUGAGACACGGCCCAGACUCCUACGGGAGGCAGCAGUGGGGAAUAUUGCACAAUGGGCGAAAGCCUGAUGCAGCGACGCCGCGUGAGGGAUGACGGCCUUCGGGUUGUAAACCUCUUUCAGCAGGGACGAAGCGCAAGUGACGGUACCUGCAGAAGAAGCACCGGCUAACUACGUG
rnacentral:rRNA from 1 species